rnacentral:rRNA from 1 species
CGAAGGAUGCAAGCGUUAUCCGGAUUCAUUGGGUUUAAAGGGUGCGUAGGCGGUCUUGUAAGUCAGUGGUGAAAUCUCGCAGCUUAACUGCGAAACUGCCAUUGAUACUGCAGGACUUGAGUACAGAUGCUGUGGGCGGAAUAUGACAUGUAGUGGUGAAAUACAUAGAGAUGUCAUAGAACACCGAUUGCGAAGGCAGCUCACAAAACUGUAACUGACGCUGAGGCACGAAAGUGCGGGGAUCAAACAGGAUUAGAUACCCUGGUAGUCCGCACUGUAAACGAUGAUUACUCGCUGCUGGGGGGCAACUUCCAGUGGCUGAGCGAAAGCGAUAAGUAAUCCACCUGGGGAGUACGCCGGCAACGGUG